rnacentral:rRNA from 1 species
AGUGAACGCUGGCGGUAGGCCUAACACAUGCAAGUCAAACGGCAGCACAGUAAGAGCUUGCUCUUACGGGUGGCGAGUGGCGGACGGGUGAGGAAUACAUCGGAAUCUACUUUUUCGUGGGGGAUAACGUAGGGAAACUUACGCUAAUACCGCAUACGACCUACGGGUGAAAGCAGGGGAUCUUCGGACCUUGCGCGAUUGAAUGAGCCGAUGUCGGAUUAGCUAGUUGGCGGGGUAAAGGCCCACCAAGGCGACGAUCCGUAGCUGGCCUGAGAGGAUGAUCAGCCACACUGGAACUGAGACACGGUCCAGACUCCUACGGGAGGCAGCAGUGGGGAAUAUUGGACAAUGGGCGCAAGCCUGAUCCAGCCAUACCGCGUGGGUGAAGAAGGCCUUCGGGUUGUAAAGCCCUUUUGUUGGGAAAGAAAAGCAGCAGGUUAAUACCCCGCUGUUCUGACGGUACCCAAAGAAUAAGCACCGGCUAACUUCGUG